rnacentral:lncRNA from 1 species
CACAGGGCUUUGGGAAACUUAAUCAUUCUGGAUCUGUACAGGAAUCCUUCAGUGGAGAAACUGGAAAACUAUGGGAAAUAUGUGGUGUUCCACUUCCCCUCUCUAAAGGCACUGGAUGGGACUGCAGUGAUAUGUUUACAUCAUAAUCAAAGCAGUUCUGAAUCUGUUUGUUGAAUUGAGAGAAACAGAAGUGAUGAGUCAUUGAGAUCUAUAGAAAAUGGCGGCUUGUGAGAUUGCCAAGGAUGUGUUUGGUGGAUGCCUGACCCCUGACAUGGUGGCGGAGAAACUGGGACACUAACUAUUCUGACAUCGCCGAUCUCAACCUGCAAUCCUGUGCAAUCAGGAUGGUGGAUCUGACACCAGAAGACCUGUUCUUCAACCUGCACAGUGUCAACCUAGAGCACAACAACCUCACCUCCUUCAGUGGCCGUGUCUGCCUGACCAACAUCAAGGCACUGUGUUUAAACAAUAACCACAGAGUCCAUCCUGCCUAGGCAGAAGGCCCAGGCCCACCUGACUAACAGACAAGGUGAAUUCCAUUGGUUACGGCUAGCAGGGCUCCUCAAAGGCAGUAGGUACCAGCACUACAGAUGAAAGUCUAUUAUUUGAACAUAACAUUUAAAUGUAUUACCUUUUAAACACAGUUUGUGAUCUGGAAAUAAACGAUUCAUGAAAAGCUUUAACCAUUUAUGUUUUCUCAGUACAGUGGUGACCCAUCAUUUAGGGGUUUGCUACAAAAACGAAAAAGAUUGAACCUGUUUUGCAUGUUAUUUUGACAUUAAUACAUGUCACAUAUCAGUUUGCAAACAAUGUAAAAAAAAAUCAUUAAUAAAGCCGCAUACAAACUUGGUCUCUUUUUUUGCUUUCUUGAGCAAGGCAGCUCCAAAAUGCAG